UGUCUGCCUAGUUAUAAUCUCGAUGUCUGCACGUGAACGAUUAGGCUAUUCUUAACGUGCUGAGCGUAAAGAGCGGCGCUGCAGGUCUUUGGUAAAUGUUUGCCAAGCGGAGAUUCGAGUUUCGUUUUGAGUCAGCGGUCAAGGAUUUUCUUUACAAGGAUUUCUCUUUUCAGUGUGAUCUUCUUUUCGCGGAUGAAGGACAUUCUGCAAAUUUCGAAGCUCUUUGGCGUUAACAAAACAAAUGAAUGCUUGCCAUGGAUGCCCCUUCGUGUCGCAGAAUUGGCUGACGGGAAUUAGUGACGCUACUCACCUACAUUUUGCCAUGCUUCGUUUCUGUUUAGCCAAGGGAUCAAGAAGUUAAAAGAUGAAAAGCGUAAAGACAGCAGAAGUCUGACGCGAUGGUGAUAUAAUAUUGGAUCAGAACAGUUUGUUUAUAGUAUACCACAAAAAUCCACCAUAAUCCAUGUAAAGAAGAUAAGGAAAUAAAAGAAAAGAUUAAAUGGC